UACAGAGGCCUCGAGCGUUAGGCGGAAUCACUGGGCUUAAAGCGUGUGUAGGCGGGUCGUUAAGUGCCUUGUGAAAUCCCCUGGCUCCAACCAGGGAACUGCUUGGCAUACUGGCGAUCUUGAGAUACCUAGGGGCAACUGGAACAGACGGUGGAGCGGUGAAAUGCGUAGAUAUCGAUCUGGAACGCCAAUGGUGAGACAGGUUGCU
rnacentral:rRNA from 1 species